rnacentral:rRNA from 1 species
GACGAACGCUGGCGGCGUGCUUAACACAUGCAAGUCGAACGGAAAGGCCCUGCUUUUGUGGGCUGCUCGAGUGGGGAACGGGUGGGUAACACGUGAGUAACCAACCCUUGCCUUUGGGAUAAAUUCAGGAAACUAGGGAUAAUACAUGCUAGGAGCUCCUGCAGCAUGGUGUGGGUUGGAAAGUUGCGGCGGUUGGGGAUGGUCUGGGGGCUUAUCAGCUUGUUGGUGGGGUAGUGGCUUACCAAGGAUUUGAAGGGUAGCCGGCCUGAGAGGGUGACCGGGCACAGUGGGACUGAGAUACGGGCCAGACGCAUACGGGAGGCAGCAGUGGGGAAUAGUGCACAAUGGGCGGAAGCCUGAUGCAGCAACGCCGCGUUCGGGAUGACGGCCUUCGGGUUGUAAACCGCUUUCGCCUGUGACGAAGCGUGAGUGACGGUAAUGGGUAAAGAAGCAACGGCUAACUACGUG